AGCUCCAAUAGCGUAUAUUAAAGUUGUUGCAGUUAAAAAGCUCGUAGUUGAACCUUGGGCGCGGUGCAUCAGGUCGACCGCAAGGUCUGACUUGGUCGCCAAGCCUCUUUUGAGGGACUCGUCGUUCUGCGGCGAGGUAACUCAUGUUACUGUGAAGAAAUUAGAGUGUUUAAAGCAGGCUAUCGCUUGAAUACAUCAGCAUGGAAUAACAAGAUAUGACAUUAGUCUUCUUGUUGGUUUGGAGAUCAAUGUAAUGAUUAAUAGGGCCAGUUGGGGGCAUUAGUAUUCAGUAGUCAGAGGUGAAAUUCUUGGAUUUACUGAAGACUAACUAGUGCGAAAGCAUUUGCCAAGGAUGUUUUCA
rnacentral:rRNA from 1 species